UUGGAAACAACUGACAACAAAAGCAGUUCACAAAGCACAGGGUUAUUACGUGGGCAUAUCAAAGCAUAUCUAUUACUGAUCUUACUCUGCAUUCUGGAUCAGUUGAAGUUUCUGCAUAAUCUUCAAGGGCAGUUCCAUGUAGGAUGUGUUACAAUAGUUAAGCCAUGAAGGAAAGGGUCUCCUAUUCUUGGAAUAUUAUUCAAAAAAAAUCAAAGUAGAAAUUGUUCAGAAUUGCAUUAGUGAGGAUAUAGCAACAUCAGUUCCUAACACCUGAUCCCAAUAGAGGAAAACUAAUCCAAGUAGAGAUUACACAAAUUUUAACUAUUAGCAUGGACUUUUACUCUGCUUUCUUCAUACUUGAUAGUUUUAACAUCCAUACAUGAUGUACCAAGAAAAUGAACUUCAAGGAAAAAAUGGAAACUACACUUGGUAUAAAAGGUUAUAAAUAUAUACAUACAAGAAAGUGUAUGAAUUGUCUUGAAUUCAAUGUUUAUACAAAGUCUGUUUUCAAUCUUUAAUGUCAAUCUUAAAGAAAAAUUUCAUGUUUUCCUUAUUUAUGUAUUUAUCAAAUUUCUAUGCUGCCCUUCACACUUGUGUGAUUCUAUAUUACAGCAGUAAAAUAAACCAGAAAUAUUUACAACUUUUAUUUUUCUUUGUAGCCAAUAAUGUAGUGUACAAAAACAUGGCUUGUAUAUCCAUUAGUUAUAUAUAGUCAUAACAAAUAUCCUAAAAUUGUACAAAUGUAGACCAUACUUAAAAAUCUUCAUGUUGU